rnacentral:rRNA from 1 species
GUCCACGCCUUAAACGAUGGAUACUAAGUGUCGGCGGGUUACCGCCGGUGCCGCAGCUAACGCAGUAAGUAUCCCGCCUGGGAAGUACGGCCGCAAGGUUGAAACUCAAAGGAAUUGACGGGGGCCCGCACAAGCGGUGGAGCAUGUGGUUCAAUUCGACGCAACGCGAAGAACCUUACCCAGGCUGGACAUGCAGGUAGUAGAAGGGUGAAAGCCCAACGAGGUAGCAAUACCAUCCUCCUCAGGUGCUGCAUGGCUGUCGU